CAGAUUGUGUAAAGUGUUACACCUCCGUUUUGUAAACAUUCAAAAAAAUGUCUGAAGAGAUUCCAAAAAAAAUCUAUCGUCAUAUUCUUAAAGGCUUACAAUAUUAUCAUCUUGUGAAAGGAAGUGGAAGCCACCUUGAUGAAUUAGUUUCAUUUGUAUUUUUGAAAAAUAAACGCACGGUUCAUCCUACAGUACUGCAAAGAUGGAUAAAAAAUGCAUUAGAAUCUUUUAAAAGUAACAGACUUGUUCAAGAUGAGUUUUUGGAUUAUUAUCGAUUACACGAGGCUUUUUUUAACGGACCGUUUGAUAAUGAGGAACAUUUUGUGCUCAAUCCUGAUAGAAAUCAUUUUCGUGACGAGAACAAUACGAGCCAGGAAAGUCUAUCAACAGUGCCUUUUUAUCGCAGAACUUUAAAUCGUAAAGGCAGUUACUAUAAGCUACCCAAACAUCGAGUUCGAGGUAAUUUUCAAAACCCUCAACAUCUAACCAAACAGAAACAAACGAAGAAAAGUACUGAAGAGAACAAUUUAUUGUUGAAUGUACCAAUGGAUGAAAAUUUCAGCACAACUUCAUUGCACGAGACCUUAGUUUUCGGAAGCAUAGAAUCGCAUGAAAUAUCCUCUGAUGAAGAUUAAAGAACGAUAUUUGAGUGCUCAACUACAUCUAUAAUUGACUAAGAAAAUUUGAAACGUUCACAACGGAGAGUCGUUAAAGAUUAUUGUUUGAGCUGUAAAAUAAAAAGCCUUGGGCUGAAAUUGUCUCCAACAUAAAAGGACUCGUGUUACGGUA